UGGAAGUUUUAUUCUGAGAACUGAAUAGACUGAAUUCUAUAAUCUGAAAUUUGAUAAGUUGUAGAAAUACUGAAAAAUCACACAAGAAAUGUACCCAAUGAAUAGCCUUAUUCAUGUACAGAGUAAUCUCGAUAUACCAGGCAAAACCAUUCAAAUAUGAUAAUCUGGUCAUACGUACGCAGAGCUACCCCAAAGGCUAAUCACCCUAGUACACGGCCCAAAGCCUAUAGAGUAUGAGAGUGGGUCCCAAAUAUCUCUGAUAAUUUGAUCAUACACUAUGGAAACACAUUCACAAUAGUACAGAAUGGGUAAAAUCACCAUAACUGGUCAUACACUAUGGAAACACACUCACACUAGUACAGACUGGGGUAAAAUCACCUGGGUACUUUCUGGUGGUUUUUAGAAAUAACUUUAGUUAUACUAAAACAUGUAAUACGAAUGGUACAUUCUAUUGAAAUGAUUUAAUUGAACUGAAUUUAACUUUAAAAACAACUUAUUAUAAAUCCAUUUUAUUCUAAAUAUUAUACUCUUAAAUCUGAAAAAUUAAAUUUUCUAACGGAACGUAAAUUUAAUAAAUAAUUAAUUUCUAAAAAAUAAGUUUUAUAUCCACUCCUCUAAACAAGCUACUAGUUAUGAUGGUCGACAAGUUUUUCCCAUCUCUUCAGCACCGCCUGAAAGACAAUGUAAAACAACUGAUUUAACCACUAUCCUUCGAAGUAGUUUUAAAUAUUGAUGAUCGAAUCGAAAAAUUGAUUUAUCGAUACUUGAAUAAUUUUUCCCCAAUUUCCCUAAAUCACUUUAAGCUAAUUCCACUCUCUAGUCCAUUAUCUAAUAGCUAAUUCAUCACAAUAACCUUUAUUCUAAUCAUGAGAAUAAUUAUCCCAUCUUCCAAUCUAGCAAAACUAAUAACCAUAAUUCAACCAAUUAAAUUUACAUUUUUUCCCAUAAAACCAUUCUUCCAAGUGAAUAUUUCGUGAUAACUGUCAUUUUCCCAAACUAUCUUUACUCUUGAAUCUAAUUAAAAUUCUAGGGUUUAACAAAAAUGGUAUAACUUAGCUUGUAUAUACACAACCCCUAUAAAUAAUUUAGUCCAAUACACAGGCUUUAACAUUUGUCAUAUAUCUUCAUUCAAACCUUUAGAAUCUGAAAAUCAAAUGUUUGACAAAAACGGCACUAAAGUUCCAUAAUAUUGAAUUAUGACACCAAAUUCUGUAUAUUGAAAACUGUCACCAAAAUAUGGACAGAAAUAACACUUUUCUGGGAAAUUUUCGAAAAUAGCACCCUCAUUACAUAACCCAAAAAUUUCUUUAGGAAAAUGGAGAAUUUCAACAUCAAAUCCUUAAUUUAAGUGUUUAACAUCAUAUAGUCCCAAGAAUUUCAAAGCAUAUGUAUUUCUUUCACAAACCCAUCUCAAAUUCCACUUUCUUCAACACUAAUUGACAAUUACAUAUUUCUUUGCCAUAAUUUAGUUAUAACCUCAAAUACAUAUUCAUAAUCAUUAAUUCUUGUCAAACUUUAAACAUGAGUAAUUGUUUACAAACCUUUAAAUUCAAGAAUUAUUUCCCACAAAUACAUCUUUUAUUUACCUGAAGAAAUUAAGGAAGAACUUUAAGGACCAUGUUGGUAUUGCCAUCAUUUUUUUUUCCUCUUCCUUCUUCUUCUUCCUUUUCUUUCUUUUUUUCUUUUUCUCUUUCUUUUGCCGAUUUUUCCCCCUGUUUCUGCCCCCGUUUUCAGCUUCUUUAUGUGUAUGUAUGUAAUAUGAAAAAUGAAAGAAAUGGCUUGCAAGGUGCCACUUGUAAUCCACCAACUAAACCCUUUUUGCUAUCAAGUCCUCCAAACUUCACAUGAUAUCUUAUUAAGUCAUCUAACUUCUAAUAAUUAAUAAGUAUUUUCCCAAAUUUAAAUGAUGUCCAUCUUAAACAUUCAUAUAUCUUAAAUCAUAAAAUGAACCCCAAUAAAAUAAUUAAUUUCAUUUAAGUCCCUAAUUGACCUUGGCUUUGACUAGUCGAACCUUUGACUUUGAAUAAAUAUUAUUGACUUUUGACUAGUAUGAAAUGGGGUGUAAUAAUCUUACCUCCUUAAAAGAAUUUCGUCUUCGAAAUUCAAUCAACUAGGAUUCAAAUAUAUCAAGAUAUAGAGCACAUAGUAUACCUGAUCUUCAUAUUCCUGUGAUGUCUCUUCUACUGAUUGACUUCUUACAAGUUAACUAGCACACUAAUUAAACUGCACAGAAUUUAUUCUUUCUUGUCCUUAGAUUUUUCCUUGACCUUUCCUAUAUCGAUAUCUUAUCUAUAUUUAAAUUUAUAAAUCUACCUCAUGAGCUGACUAUAUCAUUUGAAAGAAAUCUUGUAACUUUAAUCAAUAACGAUUCAAAUACCAUUUUAUCUCGAUCCUGUGUAUUUGGAACCCCAAAAUGAAAAAUCCAAUUCUAACUUGACAACAUCUAAAAAAAUUCAAUUGUUCAUGAUUUUCUAAAAUUCUAACUAUCCUCCACAACAAUUGAUAAAACUCAAUAUGGUGUUCUUUUCCUUUAAUUUUGUAUCACCCAAAGAUAAUAUAUACACAACUUUAGUUUCAACCCUUUCAAAUUGAAAUAUACCUUAAACUACAGUGAUAUAUAAGUAUCGAUGUUUCUCGCAAUGGCAUAACACCGCAAUUCCUGACUUCAACACCAAUAUAAUCAACUAUGAAUCAUGUCUCUUCAACAAUCCAUAUUAUAAUCCAUAAUUUAUAAGCUUACCUUAGAAUACUUUCUAAACCCAAAAAUAGUUCAUUAUAUUAUAUCAAACAUUCAUCAGCUUUAGAUAGAAAACACAUAUUUUCUCAUAAUAUAAUCUGAUAGUAAAAACUCUUUAUACUCCCAAACCCACAUAAGUUUGGACUUUUUCUUUCUAUGAAGAGACAAUGAUAACAUUUAAUCAAUGAUAAUCUACAAUCUUACUCCAUAAAGAGACCAUUGACUUAUUGCCAACACAUAAGCCUUCUUGUAAAUUACAUACGGUCCUUUAAUUAAGCUAAUAUAACCAAAGGCUACCAUUCCACAAUUGGGUAUGAUUUACAUUAGACGAUCACCAUAAACUUUAGAUUAUCCAACAUAUCAUCCAUAUAUUUCAUAGCGAAUAGUUCUCAAUAAAAUAGAAUACUAUAUUCAUGAAAUCCAAAAAUACAAUUAAAACUAAUCCAAAAAUUAUAUCACUAAAAAUUCAUCAAAUUCAUCUUAACUUCCAAAAUUUAGCUCGAAGCUUCCAAAUGGUAUGUAAUAUAACAUAAUAAUACAAACAAUAGCCGUGACAAAAUUAAUUAACUUAAUAAUCCAAAUAUCGCAUCACAUUAUUUUGCCACAGGAUAAACAUAAAUUUCAUUUACUUGCUAAUCACCCGAUUAUGUUAUGAUCAUGUAACCUGGUCAUUUAUAGUUAUAUUGUAGAACUUAAAGCAUCUAAUUAUAUCGAUUUUUCUUAACAUUACAAAAUAAUAAUUUUCAUAUUUAUCAUGUGCACUUUUCACACAUCAAUUACCACCAAGAAAUUGUAUUCUAAUUCCUCAAUCUCCAUUAAUUUCAACUCUACCGUUCUUUAUUCUUUCUUAUACUAUAAUUUACAUAGCAUCAUUUCAUUCUUCAAGCCAUACAUGCUUAUAUGUAAAAAAUGAUAUACUAAUCCCUCUUUUCAUUUCCUUUACUUCAAUGCAUGAUUCUUUUUCUAUAAUUCAAAAAUGAAACUCAAUAGCGUUUUGUAGACUUACUUCAUUCAUAUCAUUUGUACUUAAUUUACAUAAAUGCACAAAUCCAAUAAUUCUUUUCCUUCAACAACAAUUUAUCCCACAAUAAAUAGUCUUCUUGAAGUCUAUCCAUACCUUUCUCACAUUACUUAUAAUCAAAUAGCCCAUAAAUAAUCAAAAUGAUCGGAGCUACAUAAAUGUCAUUUUUCUCAAUGUAUAACAUACAUAAUAACACAUUAUUCUCUACCAAUCAAUAUUUGAUAUAAUAUUAUCAUUUAUCCUCCACAAGAUUCUUGUCAUAUAUAUAGAUAUACAUCUCUGUAAUUUCUAUCAUCCUCCCAUGUGAGUGGCUACAAAUCACUCUAUUCUUCGACGAUGCUAAUGAUCAUUUAGCUUCCCAAGAUAAUUAAGAUUUCUCACAUAAUUGUCAUCAAUUACACAUAAUAUCAUUCCAUAUGGUUUCAUUGUUUCUGUCAUGAACAAGAUUUCUUACUAUAUCUCCACAUCUUAAUUUUCUAAUACAUGCAUUUUCUUCUAUAUACUAAAUAUGGUUGCAAAUUCCCACAAUAAUUAUCAUAAUACUUCAAUCAUUUAACUUACAAAGCAAUCAUGAUUUCAACUCAUAAUGUCACCAACUAUACAUAUAUCAACAUUAGACAAUACUUAUCAUCCAAGGCAUCUAUAAGACAUUUCCUCUACUAGUCAUAAAAGAACCUCAUAACUUAAUAAAUCCCAUUACCGAGAAAAGUUAUACUCUUUGGAUAUAUAGCGCAAUUAUUAAUAUAUUUGAGAAAAUAUUACAUGGCCCCAACAUGACAACUCUAACAACUCUCAUUACAAUCGGAUAAUUCUUAAUAACAUCCUAAUACUUAUUAUGCUCAAAUCAAUAGAGGUCCUUGUUUCUUAGGGUAACAUGAGUUUCAAAUGCCACACUGGAGCCUAUGAGUUCUGCCACCACGCCACGACUAACAAAUUCAAUGACCUACUAUACUGAAAAAGAAAUUCAUGAAUUACUCAAGCUUAACAACCACUGAACCAUGCUCUGAUACCAAUUGACACGGCCUGUCCCAAAUCACCUUAGUGGACUCGACACGUGUCAUGCACCGAUUGUAGAUACAAGCUAAACGCUGGACUCACCACCAAGGCAAUUUUGACUUGCUUGACCAAAAAAUAUUUUUAACAGAAUUUUGACAGAAUUUUCCCUGAAAUACGAACUAAAACCACCUGAACAAUAACCAAUUUUCCUCAAAUCAAUGCCUAUAAUAUAAAUCAGGAUACGCCAAUCCCUCAAAAUACAAACUAUUCAAAUAAAAUGCUAACAAAUCAAUAUUUACUUGCUUUACAACCAACAGUCCUCAAAUAUACUAAAGAUAUCAAAUAUCUAAUUCGCCCAUAAUGAACUUUUCUGAUUUAAACUACAUGUAUCCCAAAAGAACAUGUAAUGUAUAAUCUGAUAAAGGAUAUCAUAAAACCUAUGACGCGUGGCUCAAUUCGGUGGUUCGACCGGCUCCAAAGUUGCUGAAUUCGUCUGCUUUUUGUCUGAUAAAGAAAAGGGUGUAUAUAUAUAUAUAUAUGAGCUUAAGGCUCAGUAAGUGAAUAAUUUGCAAAUAAGUAAACUUUUCUCAUUUAUGCAUAUUUUUUUGAAAAUUCUUGCACUACUAAAACUUCUAAAAAUUCUGAAAACUAGUAGCACUUUUAAAAUUGAAACAUGAUUGGAUCAUAAAAUUCUUUAUUCUUUAUUCUAGUUCAACAAUUGUAAAAUAUAACGAAUAUAAAUAAUCUUAAAUCCAUGAAAAUCUGUGAAAUAUUGAUGUUGUUCAAUUCUAUAAGUAGGAAGCUUUAUUAUGAGAACUGAAUAGACUGAAUUCUAUAACCUGAAAUCUGAUAAACUAUAAAAAUACUGAAAAAUCACACCAAAAAUGUACCCAAUGAAUAGCCUUACUCAUGUACAGAGUAAUCUUGAUGUACAAGGCAAAAUCAUUCAAAUCUGAUAAUCUGGUAAUCUGAUCAUACGUACGUAGAGCUGCCCUAAAGGCUAAUCACCAUAGUACACGGCCCAAAGCUUAUAGUGUACAAGAGUGGGUCCCAAAGACCUCUGAUAAUCUGGUCAUACACUAUGGAAACACAUUCAUAAUAGUGCAGAGCGGGCAAAAUCAUCAUAACUGGUCAUACACUGUGGAAACACAUUCAUACUAGUGCAGACUGAGGUAAAAUCACUUGGGUACUUUCUGGUGAUUUUUAGAAAUAACUUUAGAUAUACUGAAACAUGUAAUACAAAUGGAACAUGCUAUUGAAAUGAUUUAAUUGAACUGAAUUUAAUUUUAAAAACAACUGAUUAUAAAUCCACUUUAUUCUAAAAAUCAUGCCGUCAAAUCUGAAAAAGAAAAUUUUCUAAUCUAACGUAAAUUUAAUAAAUAAAUAAUUUCAGAAAAAUAAGUUUUAUAUUCACUCACUCUAAACAAGCUACUAGUUAUGAUAGUCGACAAGUUUUUCCCAUCUCUUCGCCACCACCUGAAAGGCAAUGUAAACUAAUUUAACCACUAUCCUUCUAAGUAGUUUUAAAUAUUGAUGAUCGAAUCUAAAACUUGAUUUCUCGAUACUUGAAUAAUUUUCCCCCAAUUUCCCUUAAUCACUUUAAGCUAAUUCCACUCUCUAGUCCACUAUCUAAUAGCUAAUUCAUAACAAUAACCUUUAUUCUAAUCAUGAGAAUAAUUAUCCCAUCUUCCAAUCUAGCAAAACUAAUAACCAUAAUUCAACCAAUUAAAUUUACAUUUUGUUCCAUAAAACCAUUCUUCCAAGUGAAUAUUCGUGAUAACUGUCAUUUUCCCAAACUAUCUUUACUCUAGAAUCUAAUUAAAAUUCUAGGGUUUAACAAAAAUGGUAUAACUUAGCUUGUAUAUACACAACCCCUAUAAAUAAUUUAGUCCAAUACGUAGGCUUUAACAUUUGUCAUAUAUCUUCAUUCAAACCUUUAGAAUCUGAAAAUCAAAUGUUUGACAAAAACGAUACUAAAGUUCCACAAUAUUGAAUUAUGACACCAAAUUCUGUAUAUUGAAAACUGUCACCAAAAUAUGGACAGAAAUAACACUUUUCUGGGAAAUUUUCAAAAAUAGCAUUUUCAUUACAUAACCAGAAUUUUUUUUUAGGAAAAUGGAGAAUUUCAACAUCAAAUCCUUAAUUUAAGUGUUUAACAUCAUAUAGUCCCAAAAAUUUCAAAGCAUAUGUAUUUCUUUCACAAACCCAUCUCAAAUUCCACUUUCUUCAACACUAAUUGACAAUUACAUAUUUCUUUGCCAUAAUUUAGUUAUAACCUCAAAUACAUAUUCAUAAUCUUUAAUUCUUGUCACACUUUAAACCUGAGUAGUUGUUUACAAACCUUAAAUUCAAGAAUUAUUUCCCACAAAUACAUCUUUUAUUUACCUGAAGAAAUUAAGGAAGAACUUUAAGGACCAUGUUGGUAUUGCCAUCAUUUUUUUUCCUCUUCCUUCUUCUUCUUCCUUUUCUUCCUUUUUUUCUUUUUCUCUUUCUUUUGCCGAUUUUUCCCCCUGUUUCUGCCCCCGUUUUCAGCUUCUU
rnacentral:lncRNA from 1 species